UUUAAACCGUUGAAUGAUGAAGAUGCAAUGACCCUAUUUUAUCAUUCUACUUCACUCGAAGAUAAUAGCUCUUAUGUUCCACAACCCCUUGCCAAACAUGUGAUUUAUUAAAUUCAAUGCAUGGCAUAUCCUCAUUCAUAUAUUUGUAUAUGCUUGCAUUCGUUUUCUCUCUUUCAUCAAACCAUUCAGAACAUUUAGAGAAUCUAGAAUUUGAGUCUCAAUUCAAAAGUAAUUGACUUUCAUUGGGACAAUUGAACUGCAGAUAGUAGAACACUGUAAGGGAUUUCCACUUGCCAUUUCAGCCAUCGGAAGAUCACUUUGUGGACAAUCCAUAGAGACUUGGACUAGAAGACUAAGGGUUUGGUGUGAAGAUUCUUCUCUUCUUGAUUCCGAAACCGAUUUCCUUGGUUGCUUCCAAAGUAACUUAGAUGCAUUGGGUAAAAAAGACCCAGCAUUAGGAAAUGUUUCAUAGACCUUGAUUCAUUUCUUGAAAAUCAAAGAAUCCAUGUGGCUAACCUCAUUGAUAUAUGGACAGAGUUAUAUGAUCUAGAUGAAGACACUCUACCCAUUGCGAACCUCCACGAAAACUCACCUGGCUAAUUAUAUAGUCACAA
rnacentral:lncRNA from 1 species